rnacentral:rRNA from 1 species
AGUGAACGCUGGCGGUAGGCCUAACACAUGCAAGUCGAACGGCAGCACAGAGGAGCUUGCUCCUUGGGUGGCGAGUGGCGGACGGGUGAGGAAUACAUCGGAAUCUACUCUGUCGUGGGGGAUAACGUAGGGAAACUUACGCUAAUACCGCAUACGACAUACGGGUGAAAGCAGGGGACCUUCGGGCCUUGCGCGAUUGAAUGAGCCGAUGUCGGAUUAGCUAGUUGGCGGGGUAAAGGCCCACCAAGGCCACGAUCCGUAGCCGGUCUGAGAGGAUGAUCAGCCACACUGGAACUGAGACACGGUCCAGACUCCUACGGGAGGCAGCAGUGGGGAAUAUUGGACAAUGGGCGCAAGCCUGAUCCAGCCAUACCGCGUGGGUGAAGAAGGCCUUCGGGUUGUAAAGCCCUUUUGUUGGGAAAGAAAUCCAGCUGGCUAAUACCCGGUUGGGAUGACGGUACCCAAAGAAUAAGCACCGGCUAACUUCGUGCCAGCCGCCGCCGUAA